UCCAAGCCAGGCUGCCACCCAGGCUCUUGGCUUGGGCUGCCGGCAGGGCUCCCCACAAGGAGCCCUGCUGUCCCUUGGGCCCUGGCUCCCUGCUGGGAGCAUGGCAACUGAUCGGACUCCAGGAGCAGAUCUCCCUGCUGGAGGUGAGAAGUCCUCGGUGGCUGUCCCCUACUCUGGCUCUCGGCUAGGAAUGGGGAGGUGAGAAGCUCCGGGCGGCAGCUGGGCUCCCGGUGGGGAGCUGGGAGCCCUGCUUCUCAGCCUUCCCCCAACACCGCCUCUCUUCAGUUGGUGGAAGCGCUUCUGGUGAGGACACUCACCACCAACAGAAGGUCCUGUUAGCAGUUGUGGGAAGCCCUCUAAAGAAUAUGGUUUAAUUGGAAAAACUGGACCUGAAAGCCAACCAUCAUAAACAUUCAUCUUCCUUGUGUCAUGUACCAAAUGAGACCUCUGGGAGUAAGAUGUCAACAACAAGGAGAAGGAUAUGAACAAGGACAAGCAU